rnacentral:lncRNA from 1 species
CUUUUUGCAGCUUUUUGCCCCAGCCACCGUGCCUUUUUGCCCCCGCCGCCGCGGCUUUUUGUCCCCGCCGCCGCGGUUCUGAGGGCGGGAGCGGCAGACUCGGCUGCCAGCUCUACUGGCGUCCUGCCUGCACGGGCUGCGCACCAAGUGCGCUGUGUCCAACGGCCUCACCCAGCAGGAGAUACGGACCCUGGAGGUGAGGCCACUGAAGGUCUGAGGGAGAACUGACUUGUCAGGAACUCCUGUUAAGGAGAAUUAACAAAGUGUGGUUAUUAAAGGAGAACUGAGUUGGGAGUCAGACCUGGAGGACUGCACCCUUGGUUAAGACAUUAUACCACCUUGAGUCUGGCCUGUUGACUGAAGAUACAACAGAGAAAUGCAUAAUGUCCACUGAAUUUAUUAAAGUUCCAAAAUCGGUCGCGCGCAGUGGCUCACGCCUGUAAUCUCAAUACUUCGGCAGGCCGAGGCGUGUGGAUCACGAGGUCAGGAGUUGGA